rnacentral:piRNA from 1 species
UGACUCCGGAGACAACGGAAGGAUGGU